rnacentral:rRNA from 1 species
GGAAGUAAAAGUCGUAACAAGGUUUCCGUAGGUGAACCUGCGGAAGGAUCAUUAAUGAACUCUCGAGGGAUGCGGUUGCUGCUGGGCUUUCUUGCAAAGUCAUCGUGCGCACGGUCCUUCUUCUCGUUCAACCAAUCUACCCCUAUCUGUGCACCCCUCGUGAGCUGAGAACUUCUCGGCUCAUGUUCUUUUCCACGAAGCGCACCCACUAUCAUCAGUGAAUGAACAGCUAGCUGUCCGAGCUUUGUCUCGACGCUAACAGAAACACACAACUUUCAACAACGGAUCUCUUGGCUCUCGCAUCGAUGAAGAACGCAGCGAAAUGCGAUAAGUAAUGUGAAUUGCAGAAUUCAGUGAAUCAUCGAAUCUUUGAACGCAUCUUGCGCCCCUUGGUACUCCGGGGGGCAUGCCUGUUUGAGUGUCAUCAGACCAUCAACCCAAAGGGCUUUCGAGCCCUUCAAUGGUUGGAGCUUGCGGCUUGCGGGAGGCUCUCAUGGGCCUCUCCCGCUCCUCGCGGAAUGCAUCAGCGGACGUCCUGCUGCGGACCGACCUUGGCGUGAUAAACAUCUACGUCUAGACUCGGGCCCCCACAAGUACUGGCUCUGCUUCGAACGGUCGCGCCAUUGUUAUGCGACGAACUUAUUGACAACUUUGACCUCAAAUCAGGUAGGAUUACCCGCUGAACUUAAGCAUAUCAAUAAGCGGAGGA